CGUUCGUAUUUUUAGGGUUCCAUUAUAACAAGGAAACCUUAUCUCGUUUUAAGAUAUUAGUGAUGUACAUACUGACUAAUAAUGUUGAAAACCAAAAUAUCAUAAAUGAUCGCUAUUUUGUUCGUUUUUAUAUUCAUUGUCGAGAUGGCAUAUAUUCUGAAAUGUCACAACGCGCUCAAUUUCGGCACUUUGAAUGACUUCUCCAAGGGUGUCAAGGGUUUAGUGGACGAGUUGUCAGCGUACUUCCAGCCGUGCGGGGUUCCGAUGGAGUUGCUCACCAAGUUCUGUUCCCAGGGGAACCGUGUACACGAGAUGGAAUGACCGUGUA